GGGGAAUUUUCCGCAAUGGGCGAAAGCCUGACGGAGCAAGACCGCGUGGGGGAUGAAGGUUUGUGGAUUGUAAACCCCUUUUGAUUGGGAAGAAUACUGACGGUACCAAUCGAAUAAGCCUCGGCUAACUCCGUGCCAGCAGCCGCGGUAAUAACGGAGGAGGCAAGCGUUAUCCGGAAUUAUUGGGCGUAAAGCGUCCGUAGGUGGUUUAGUAAGUCUGCUGUUAAAGCGCGGGGCUUAACUCCGUAUCGGCAGUGGAAACUACUAGANUAGAGUGUGGUAGGGGUAGAGGGAAUUCCCAGUGUAGCGGUGAAAUGCGUAGAUAUUGGGAAGAACACCGGUGGCGAAAGCGCUCUACUGGGCCAUAACUGACACUGAUGGACGAAAGCUAGGGGAGCGAAAGGGAUUAGAUACC
rnacentral:rRNA from 1 species